rnacentral:rRNA from 1 species
CGUUCAGGGGUAAACCUGCGAAACUCGAAUGAACGAACGGAGAGAUUCAUCGUCAUUCCGACGGAGCUGCGGUGGCGUUUCGAUGCGGCGAUGUGCGUGCGUUCGCGUGCGUUCCGCCGUCGCACGAGCGUCGUCCGUACGCGUCCCCGGACGGCGUGCACUUCUCUCUUAGUAAGACAUCGCGACCCGUUCGAUGUCGGCCUAAGCCCCGCUCGGGAGUCCAAUGGCACUCGCUUGCCGCGGGACCGCGGCGGAUGCGGGCCGGCUGUCGGACGGUAGAUAUCGUGAAACGCGCACGCGCUCUCAGCGCGUCCGGCCCGACGCGAAGCCGUGGUCGUAUCCGAAGUCCUGCCCUAGUGCGGUCUUCGGUGCGCCGCGCUUGAUCGUCGCUGCCGUGCAGUCUCGGACCGUGCGCGUCUCGGUCGGCGAUGAUUACGUUUCGGGCACUCGCAGGACCCGUCUUGAAACACGGACCAAGGAGUCUAGCAUGUGUGCGAGUCAUUGAGAUUUAUAAAACUUAAAGGCGCAACGAAAGUGAAGGCGCGCGCUCGCCGCGCGCUCGGGGAGGAUGGAGGUCGAUCUCGCGUCGGCCUCUCGCACUCCCGAGGCGUCUCGUUCCCAAUCUGUGGAUGCAGGCGCGCUCAGAGCACAAAUGCUGGGACCCGAAAGAUGGUGAACUAUGCCUGGUCAGGUCGAAGUCAGGGGAAACCCUGAUGGAGGACCGUAGCGAUUCUGACGUGCAAAUCGAUCGUCGGAACUGGGUAUAGGGGCGAAAGACUAAUCGAACCAUC